rnacentral:tRNA from 1 species
GCCUUCGUGGCGUAACGGUUAGCACACUCGGCGCGUAUUCGAGAGGUCCAGGUUCGAGUCCCGCUGAAGGCA